rnacentral:rRNA from 1 species
UACAGAGGGUGCGAGCGUUAAUCGGAAUUAUUGGGCGUAAAGGGUAGGUAGGUGGUCUUAUUUGUCUGGGGUGAGAGCCUUGGGCUUAACUCAAGAAGUGCCCCGGAAACGGUGAGACUGGAGUCCUGGAGAGGGUCGUGGAAUUCCCGGUGUAGCGGUGAAAUGCGUAGAGAUCGGGAGGAACACCAGAGGCGAAGGCGGCGACCUGGACAGGCACUGACACUCAACUACGAAAGCGUGGGGAGCAAACAGG